UGCGGUGACGACUGUACUUAAAUAGCUGGGGUGCUUGUGAGAUCCCCGAGGAGAAGUGAGGCCUCCUCAAAAAGUAUCCGGUGAUAACAGUUCCUCCUGUGAGAGAUCAGACCGCUAAAAUAUCCAAAAUGAGCAAUCAAAUUGGGGGGAGUGUGUGUGUGAUGAGAGGUAUGAAUGGCGUGAGAUUAAAGGAAUGUAUGCUGAUGUGGAAGCGCAAAUCGUGAGUUACAUGAGAGAUGGAUUCGAAUCCCUUUGUCUGUGUGUUCUGUGUUAGUGCGUAAUCUCUGUAAAUUUUGUGUCAGUCUGUCGUCGUUCGUCUGAGCUCUGUGUGCGCACUUUGUGUAUUGGCGUGCGGAUGCGUGUGUGUGCGGUUGUGUGCGCGCUCGGUGUGUGUGCGUUUAUGUGGACACCCUGUGUGGGUGCGGGCGUCUGAGGAGGAAGAUGGCAUGGAUCAGAGAAUGUUCAAGAAAGGAGGGGGCCCGGUGGGCUCCAAGGCGUGGAAUGGCGCUAUACCGGCGAGGGUGGGGGCCAGCAGGACGCGCGGGCCUGGCCAGAUUGUGACGUCAACAUUGAUACGCUGACCCACCGCGUGGCACAAUUCCUGAACUGAGUCCUCUUACUCCACUGGCUGUCUCAAAAUCAACAGAGGACUGUCCCUGGUCAUGAGACACCUUUGACCUUUGGGAGAACAACAGGAACUACUAUCAUGCUUGAAGGGGGCAAGCACAGCUCUUCACAGGACAAGAACCAUACAGUUGGUGGAAUACACACAGUUGCAGAUCAAAAAGAAAAUGGACUGAAAGAACAAAGACAAGAUGGACGCAUUUGAGAGUGGCGGACGAUCCAGCCCUGAAUCAUCAUCAUGAGAAUCUGAGAGGAGAGGCUGCUAAAGACUUGCACGAGUCACAUGAAGUCAAACUGGACACAUUGUUAAAGACUGCUGAAGCAUUACAAAGUUGGUGGAGUGUGGGACAAAAGGGAUGGAAGUGUGUUUGGGUGCUGGGGCGGACAUAUCUGAGGAGUUUUGAUAAAAGAGGGAAUAAUAAGGCUGCUUAUUGACACUGAAACGGGGAUAAAAAACAAAAUACAUAGAUAUGGACAGUGAAGAUGCACUAAUAAUAACAAAUCAUACGACAGCGUGAUCAGAAACUUUGCAAAGUGGACAUUGAUCGAUAGAAAUUAAAUCAUUUGAAUCAUAAA